UUUUUUUGCUGACUCAGUAUAGAGCGUGGUAUCUACACUCUAAAAGGAGAGUGAAGCAAAAAUUUGCUUUAGAAAACUAAUUAAAUAAUAAAGAUAAAAAAAGGAAAAACAAAUUAAACUUCUCACCCCUCCUUCCGUCAUCGUCAUCGUCCCCAACCCCUCAUUCCGUCAUCAUCGUCGUCCCCAACUCCUCCUUCCGUCAUCGUCCUCCCCAACCCCUCCUUCCGUCAUCGUCAUCGUCCCCAACCCCUCCUUCCAUCAUUGUCCCUAAAACUCUAGCCGUUGUCACUUUCUUAAGCCCUAGUACGUCCCAAAUCCAUGGCGAAAGUUGAAGCUGAUGUUGCGAUUGAUAGCCAAGGAAGAGAACGAUUAAGAAGUUCAGCUAUAGAGGAGUAGAUCUGGAUUCUCUUUUUUACAUGUCUACUGAUGAACUUAUUUUUAUGUUUUCUAAUAAUACUAGUACUUUGUUUUACUACAAUUUUGCUGGGAAAGUGGAUACUAAAUUUGUAUUGAUUUGAGAUUAGUAAUUUGUUGAUGCCAACUGCCAACUAUCUUAUUAGAUUUUGAUUACCCCCUUGCAUAGGUUGGACAGAAUAAGAAGAUGCUAAGUAUCAUCAAUUUGGCUGCUCUUUUUUUUCUUGUUCUUGCUUUGUUCUUGUUCUAUAGAUAUCCAUUUUUUUUCUUCUAUGGCUGAAGGAUCUCCAAAAUCCAUUUAUGGUGGUUGUGGAGGUGAAGGGAAGUUGAGAAAUAUAUUUAUUUUAUUUUUUAAAUAGAAAAAUUAUUAUUUAACAUUUUGGUUGAUAAUAUCUGAUGUGGCAAUAUGACAUGGCGUUAAUAUAUCUGAU
rnacentral:lncRNA from 1 species